UAUAAGACGAGGCAUUGAUGAAGCUAAAGGAGGACUUCAUACAUCAUUCAAAGAGGCAUAUAAGUAUUUGCCUCAUUUUGUGAAUAAGGUAGUUGAGGCAAACCCUGGAAGUAUGGU
rnacentral:sRNA from 1 species